UUUUCUUUUGUUUUUCUGAGGUUUUUGCUUGAGUUUUCUUUUUCCGUGGCUUUGUGGUCUGGAAAGUGAAGAAGAUGCCCUCUUCUUUGUUUCUAGAGUGGCUUGUCAUACCCAAAUCUUUCCCUGGACCCUUUCAUUUUCAUCCUAGCCCAAAUCCCAAUAUUCUUUUUAUUGGGGAUAUUCCUUUUCUAUUAAAGGAAUAAAUCAAAUUGCCCUAGGUUGUGAAGCAACCUAUAUUUCUAUCACUCCUAAAAAUCCCAAAUAAUUCUCAUAAAUUGUUUGGGUCAUGAAUUUCUCAAAUAUGGCAAAAUAUUUCAUUUGUCAUGUUUAUCAUCAUGCUCAAAUAAUUCAUUUCCAGAAUGCCUGCGCCCAGAAUGGCUUCUUGCUCGGGCCCCUUCUCUGCUCGGUGUCUCAGCGAGCACGGGCAUGUCCAGCAGCUAGCCCAUGUUGUCGCUAUUCACCUGGAGCCUUUCCCCCCUCCGUCAGCCCCUCCGUCAGCCCCUCCGUCAGCUCUCAUCGUUGUGCGCCCACGGACGCACUGUGGCCGACCGAAGCUUUAAUGGCGUUCGGCCAUCUCUCCGCUGCGCCCUCGGCCCCUCUUGCCCUGUGCACCUUCUGUAGCUCGUCCGCUCCCCCUUCGUUGCGAUCCCACGCCUCCCCGUGAUCGCUGCGCAUCGCCAGAGCCUUGGAUGAGCUCAUGCGGCGGUGACCAGCUCGGGCACCUCGCCCUGCCUAUAAAAUGGCCAGCCCCGAGCCACUUGAAGCAUCCCAAGCUCCUCCCCUCACUCCCAGCUCCCUCCCCAGCCUCUUGUUCGAGCUCGAAGAGCUCUUGAGCCCUCCACUGGCCGCCAUGGCCGCCGCGGUGCCCCCCUUAAAUCCGGCUGACCCGAGCCUCCCCUCCACCUCUACUCCUCACUAGUAGGCCACCUAGACCCCGGAGACCCUUCCCCAACCCUCCAUUUGCCGCCGGAGUGCCCGUGGCCGUGUGCCCAAGUUCGUCUGAAGCCACCGUCCGCCGUCUCGAAGCUGCCCUCUCCUCGGUGCUCCUCGGUGGUCGUGCCCUACGCCAUCCGAUGUGCCGCUUCUUCCCGAGCACGCCGGUGUGCCGAGCUCUGCGGGAGAUGGCCGGAGUCGCUGGGACUCGCCGUCAAGGCGGCCGGCCUCGCCUCUGCCUCUCUCGAGCGCGGGAGGAGGAAGAAGGAACCAGGAGGAGGGAAAUGAUAAGGCGGGCCCCACCAGUCAGUCACUCGGGCGUUGACCCACCUGGUCCAGCUGGAUAAGUAACGGCCCCCAUAGCCCAUGGGACCCCAAUGUCAGCGACCCGCGUGCCUGGCCCCGCCUCUGCCCGCGUGGCAAGUGGAAGCGUCAACCCCGUAGUACGUGUUCGUUUUCUGAAAGCGUAUUUCCUCUCUGUUUCAACCCAGAAUGUGUUUUCUUAAACAGAAAGCGUAUUUCUAACUUUGCGCUUCUGCCUUAUCCACUCAGGGACUUGUUUGUGAGGAUAUUUUUGCAGAAAAGUCCCUGAACUUCAACCCUUCAUAUCUUUUUAACCACAACUCCAAAUGAGGUGAUUCCAAAGCCCACGUCUUUGUUUCGUCGAGCCGUUCUGUUGGGUUCAGUUUCACUAUGGUUUGACACUGUGAAAAUGACCUUUUUCCCUUGCAUGUAAAUAGCCCCUCCGAGAGAGAACUGUUUCCGGCAAAUCUUUUCGCGGCUUCACCGCACUUCCUCCCGGUGAUUUCUUCAUUCCCAAGCAAGCCACAAUACCCACUUGCAUGAUAGUCAUGCAGUAGCCAUGGUUUUCAACUUGAAUAUUUAUUAAAUGAUUGCUUGUUUAAAAUAUGGUUAUCGUUGUUUCGGAAAUGCUUCUGGGAUUGUGCUUACUUGUUUGCUAUGUUAUUAUGCACCUGGUUAUCAUGCCCUGCUAGUUGCUAGUAUUACUUUCAUAUUGCCAUGCUUGAUAGUAGUACAUGUUGGGUUGGUCAUGUUCUUCUGUGCAUGAUUAACGUCGGUUAUCGAGUACUAUUAAUAUGCGUUGUUCCUUUGCUGUUAGUUGGUUAAGUGUUACUGGUAAUAUUGUUGAUGAGUUCUUGCAUGUUAUUUAUGGUUGAUGAUAAUGGUCAUGUUAUGUUAUACUAUGAGUAGUGCUGCACCUGUAAUAUUUAUGCUCGUCAUUAUGCCAUGUUCAGUUGGAGAUUAUUUCAUAGUUGAUGUGGUGGAUAGUUAUGUUGCAUCCCGUGAUUAUGUUGAUAUCAUGUUCAUGCAUUGUAAUUGCAUCAUGUUAUUUUAUCAAGGCUCAGCAUUUUGCAUUCAAGUUUAACCGGAUUUAAUUGAACUGGAACAACUGUUGGCUGAGUCAUGGUGCCGCCAGAUCAAAACUGACCGGUGCAACCACGCUUACCGUAUGGGUAAGGUCCUAACUGGGUCUAUUGUCGUGCAUCUCGCCGGUGCCUCCCAUGAGGGAAGGUUAUGGGCGUUCUUACCCUGAUUAGCUAGGCAGACAUAACCUUGUGUGCCCGUUGUUUUUAUUUUUAUGGAUCCGGUCCCAGUGAGGCAUGUUUGACCACGAUGGUGGUCGGAGUGUCUUUGGUAGACACAGGGCCACCCAGGACUAUCCCAGUUGGGAGUGGUUCAGAGUGGCCGGGAGAGUGUCACGGCAGUAGAUCAAUUUUGUUGGAACGCCGUUGGUCCACCCGAAUGGUAGUGCGAGGCCAUGGGUUCCGUGGUGUGGGUACAGUUUCUACCUCUGCAGAGUGUAUAUUAAAUCUAUCGAUAGCCGCGCCCGCAAAUAAGGGCCCAGUUUGUGUCGGUUCCACCGUGAGUCAAUAGUAUUAAUAAUAACUUGAUUAAUGACAACCCCUGUUCGACGAUGAGAUAAGUUGGUUGUGAUCGCCGGAAAGAUCACGGUUUGAGACCAAGUGUUGGUCAUGGUUGUGAUCGCUGGAAGGAUCAGGGUUUGAGACCAAGUGUCGGUCAUGGUUGUGAUCGACGGAAUGAUCACCGUGGUAUCGAGCAUACCGAGUUGUUGGAUAUUCAUGAUGUUGUGCAAGAAUCGUGGGUAAAGAUCAAGCUCCUUGUGGUCAUUUAAUGAUUACUACUGUAUUGUUUAUACCAAGCUUGAUUUGAUCCUGAGAUGAUCGUGUGAUGUCCGAGGAUGGUAAGUGAUGCAUGUGAUGGUUACGAGAUAACCCGAGCAAAAUAAUUGGUGCAUAUAGUGUCAUCAUGUUGCAUGCUAGUAUCAUUAGAUUUAUAUGUUCAUGCCAUGCUUAUAUUGUUCUAGCUGUAUCAUGUUCAUGUUGCCUUUGGAUUCUUAGUGGCUAUUAUGAUUAUUUUCAUGAUGGUAUCUGGUAUUAUUUUGGGAGUAUUACUUUGGAUGUCAUGUUUCUCAUGUCAUGUUGUUAUGAGGAUCUCAUGUUAAUUCAUGUUUAACCUGUAAUUGACAUGCUGUUGUUUGUCUUGAAUGCUUCUGGUUAAUUGUGAGCUUGCAAGUACAUUCAAUGUACUGACCUGGUGUGUCAUGCCAGCCUGCAGGUCAUGCCUGGAUUGCUUGCUUGUUUGGUGUUGUUCCUGUGUUCGCGAGCUAGGAUAAGCGUUCCAGCCAGAGUCCCUGUGGAGUGGAGUUUACCACCAUCGUUGUUGUUCCGCUGCCAGUAGUUUUUCCACUGCUAGAGUUAUUCUGUUGCUUCGAGUUGUUCUGCUGCUUGCAUAGAGCAACUAAGGAUGGCGUAGUGUCGAUGUGCCGAUGUUAUUCAUUGUAAUAUCAGAGACCUUGUAAUCAUAUUCGUGUAAUAAUAGAAAGAUGGUUUGUCCUAUGCUAAGCAGUGCCGUAUUCCAGAAGACUUCUCCUUGAUCUCUGGGCUGGAAUACGGGGCGUUCCUGUUUUCUCUGAGCCGGGGUGCCACAGCGCUUGGUAUCAGAGCCGGUCUGGCUGUAGAAUGUUGUAGCCCGCGCGAAUGUUAGAAAGCGGUAGUAUAGACCCCAGUUGGUUGGUUGCACUUGUUUGUCGCAUAACAUGCAUAUAGAUUGCUAUUUUGUCACUAACGGUUAAUCUGGUGAGUGUAGGUGGCAUCAUUUUCGGUCCACCGCCUACACCAUCAAUCUUAGCAUGCCUGCUCCUCGGUGUGAUGCGACCACAUCAUCAUCCAUUGCCUUCCAUCUCGUUCCCUUGACAACCCUUACUGAUCUUGGUUAUCAAAAAAAGGGCAAUACCAAUAAACCCAGUCUUUCACUGUUAUCUUGCCAUGUUAUUUCAUUCUUUGGACGGGUACGAUUCCCUUCGUACGCUUGAUGAAGAGGUGGUCCUGACUUUUGUGUCUCACUACUGGAUCGUCAAGUCCGUUCUCACCUGUCUAUCCAUCCAGAUCCAGCCAUUGUUCAGCCGGUGGUUGGUGUAGAUUCGGUUACGCCAACUCCUUCCGCACAUGGAUAUAAUUUUCGUGCACACCGCCACAGCAUAUUAGACCGUAAUACCAAGAGUUUCUGCGAGAUUUGUGUGCUUAGGUGUGCAUGCAUAUUAUUGUGUGAGUAGCAGUAAUAUGUGAUGAUUGUUUGAUUAAUUAUGUUAGUAGUAUGCUUGUGUGCUUUUGUUUUAGUCGUUUCUUUUGUUUCUUUCUUUGGGCCUUCGGUGUUACAAAUUUUUCCCCUAUUAAAGUUGCUCGUCAGCCGACACCGGACCCGAAGAGUCAGCAAGAAAUGCAUAUAUUUCGAAACUCAGCUAAACAGAAUGAUAUUGUCAGCAGACUGCAGUGAAAUUGGAAAUAGCUCGUCUGAAUACAAAAGAAAUCCUGGAUGGAAUGUCAGUAUAAAGUUUGCAUUAACGUGCACUCCUCACCACAAUAUGGAAUUCUCAGCCGACUGCAUUCAGAUUGGGGAGUAUCUGAUCAUGUUACUGCGUGUCAAGUCUCCCUCAGUGUGCACUCCUCAUAGCAGAAAUGAUCAAAUCAGCAAGAAGAUAAAUUGUGUGCAAGGUUGACAAAAUAUUAUGAUAGGUAUGGUUUAGAUACAAGUUUAAUUUUUUGUUGAGGAUGAUUUUGGAACCUGACGUACCUGGAGGCAAGCAAGAAUAUGGCAUGUACUCAGAAAGGAGGAUAGUCCUGCAAAACCCCAUUUCAUACAAGAAAUCAAUAACAAAAAUUGUAAGAUGGUUAUAUAUGUGGAAAUCGGUCCGCAUAUCACAAUAAGAAGCUUCUGGUGUAAGCGACCCAAUUUUCCCUUGCAAGAUACCCGAGAAGCUUCCAAGGCAAGAUUCAUCUAUCUUCCUCAGUACGAUACAUGUAUGAUUUCCCGCACAAGGUACUCUGUCUUCUUCAGUAGGCAACCAGAAAAGCUUCUGGCAUAAGGUACCGAGUCUUUCCCAGCAAAGUCUUUAAGGGGGUAAGCUUUUGAAGCACGAUACCCAGUAUUCUUCAGCAAGCUGUUCGAUGAAAGUUUCAAGCACAAAUCAGCCAAUCUUCCUCAGUGAGACAUUGGUACAAGGUAGUACGCUGUAAAUUGACAGCAUAUGGCAGUAAAUCCCAAGAAUCAGAUCUGCAACAUUUUGGUCAGACGCAAGAAUAAGUCAGAACUUGAGGGGUGUUGAACCUGCCAUUUAAUGGGGUACCCUGUCAGAAAAAUGAGGAUAAACUGCAAUUGACGAAAAAUUGCAUCGACAGUACCUAUGGUGAUACGAAGAAGCAAUAUGACCCAGCUCUUUCAGCCAAGGAUCCAGACCAAGAAAACAAUAAUGAAGGAGCAAGAGCAGUGAUGUAGGCGACAAUCAAAUAUUUGAUACAGAUCUGAUACUUAAGACAGUAGAACCAGUUAAGAUGAUUCUGAAACUUCCGCGAUAAGCUAGAAUCUGUCGGGAAAUCGAUUAUGACCCAAUUCACUGUUUGGAACCCGAAGGACCUGCAUUUAGUGGACAAACCCUAUGCAAGGAGUUAGAGCUUGGGUGUCCACUAGAAAAAUCUGAUCACCACUUCAUGAAAGAUUGUUAGUGCCGGAUGACACACCCAGUGGAAAUCACUCUUGGAUUUGUGAGCCCGACAUAUAUUUCAGUCGUCAGAAUGCAUCAUAGUCAGUUAAGUCAGCAGAUCUAAAAAAACUGGAGUCUGUAUAAGCAUGAACAAGCAAGGUAAGAUCUGUCAGAAUAUGGAUAUAUUAAAGCAAACCACCCUAGGACCAGUCAGAUAAAAAUUUAGUGUGAACAAAAAUAAGAAAAAGGAUACCCGAGUUGGAAACGGUUUCCUUAAGUCAGUAUUUUCAUACUUGUUCCCUGAGCAACCAAAUCCCGAGGACGAGAUUUCUUUAAGGGGGUAAGGUUUGUGAUAGCUUGAUUUUUGGCCCUUUCUUUUUCUUUUGUUUUUCUGAGGUUUUUGCUUGAGUUUUCUUUUUCCGUGGCUUUGUGGUCUGGAAAGUGAAGAAGAUGCCCUCUUCUUUGUUUCCAGAGUGGCUUGUCAUACCCAAAUCUUUCCCUAGACCCUGUCAUUUUCAUCCUAUCCCAAAUCCCAAUAUUCUUUUUACUGGGGAUAUUCCUUUUCUAUUAAAGGAAUAACUCAAAUUGCCCUAGGUUGUGAAGCAACCUAUAUUUCUAUCACUCCUAAAAAUCCCAAAUAAUUCUCAUAAAUUGUUUG
rnacentral:lncRNA from 1 species